AUUCUUACCUGGCAAGGGCAAUACCAUGAUCAUGAAGGUGAUUUUCCAAGGGUGAGGUUUAUCCAUUGCACUCCGGAUGUGCUAACCCUUGCAGUUUCACCAAAUGUGGGAAACUCCACUGCAUAAUUUGUGGUAGUGGGGGUCUGUGUCCAUGCUUUCCCUUG